GAUGAACGCUGGCGGCGUGCCUAAUACAUGCAAGUCGAGCGAACAGACGAGGAGCUUGCUCCUCUGACGUUAGCGGCGGACGGGUGAGUAACACGUGGAUAACCUACCUAUAAGACUGGGAUAACUUCGGGAAACCGGAGCUAAUACCGGAUAAUAUAUUGAACCGCAUGGUUCAAUAGUGAAAGACGGUUUUGCUGUCACUUAUAGAUGGAUCCGCGCCGCAUUAGCUAGUUGGUAAGGUAACGGCUUACCAAGGCAACGAUGCGUAGCCGACCUGAGAGGGUGAUCGCCCACACUGGAACGGAGCCACGGCCCACACCCCUACGGGAGGCCGCAGUAGGGAAUCUUCCGCAAUGGGCGAAAGCUUGACGGAGCAACGCCGCGGGAGUGAUGAAGGUCUUCGGAUCGUAAAACUCUGUUAUUAGGGAAGAACAAAUGUGUAAGUAACUAUGCACGUUUUGACGGUACCUAAUCAGAAAGCCACGGCUAACUACGU
rnacentral:rRNA from 1 species